rnacentral:tRNA from 1 species
GCCUCUGUAGCUCAGAUGGUUAGAGCGCUGCACCGGAAUCGCAGGGCCGUAGGUUCAAUUCCUACCAGAGGAC